UAUCGGCGGUGUCCACCUCUUCCCAUUCCGAACAGAGAAGUUAAGCCCGCCAGAGCCGAUGGUACUGCAGUAACAUGUGGGAGAGUAGGUCGGUGCCUAAA
rnacentral:rRNA from 1 species